rnacentral:rRNA from 1 species
AGUCGUAACAAGGUUUCCGUAGGUGAACCUGCGGAAGGAUCAUUAGUGAAUAUUAGCGUGUCUUUGCUUCGUGCAAGAGCGUGACCUCCACUUUCUAACUCUGUGCACUAUAUGCCGGAAUUGAAGAGAGCAAUCUCUAAAGUUCCGCGGCUCAUUUUAAAACACUAGUUAAAGAAUGUAACGAAAUAUCGAAACAAAAAAAAACUUUCAACAACGGAUCUCUUGGCUCUCGCAUCGAUGAAGAACGCAGCGAAAUGUGAUAAGUAAUGUGAAUUGCAGAAUUCAGUGAAUCAUCGAAUCUUUGAACGCACCUUGCGCUCCCUGGUAUUCCGGGGAGCAUGUCUGUUUGAGUGUCAUGAACUCUUCAACCCACCGGUUUCUUGUAUUCCGGCUGGUGUUUGGUUUCUGAGCGUCUGCUCGUCCUUUGUGACUGAGCUCGUUCGUAAUAUAUGAGCAUCUCUAAUUCGAAUUCGGAUUGACUCAGUGUAAUAGACUAUUCGCUGAGGACACACUUUACAGUGUGGCCGAACAAGAUAAUUGUAGAAGCUUCCAACCCUUCUAGUCAUUUUAAGAUUAGACCUCAGAUCAGAUAGGACUACCCGCUGAACUUAAGCAUAUCAAUAAAAGUCG